rnacentral:rRNA from 1 species
ACAGAGCCGGAGUCCCUAGUGGCCCGUGUGUUGAAAGCUAAAUAUUUCCCUAAUGGGAGUAUCUUAGAAGCUACCCCAAAAAACGGGUCUUCCUUCACUUGGCAAAGCAUAAUGAAAGGAUUAGAAACAUUCAAAAGAGGAUAUAUUUGGAGAAUUGGUACGAGAGAACAUGUGAAUAUCUGGAACGACCCAUGGAUCCCUACCAGCGCAGACAGGAAAGUGAUCACCCCUCGAAACCAAACACUUCUGACAAGAGUUUGUGACUUGAUGGAUCCGUUGACUGGAACUUGGGAUGAGGAGUUACUAAGAGAUAUUUUUUGGGCAGUGGAUGUACGGAGGAUUAUGCAAAUCCAAAUAUACCCUCAAGCCUUUGAAGAUUUCAUUGCUUGGCAACCUAACCGAACAGGGAUUUUCUCUGUCAAAACGGCCUACCAUCUUCAGUGGAAUCAUACUUUUAGGGCGCAUGCAAACAGGGUAGAGCCCGACUGCAUCCACACCCUUGGAUAUUUGGAAUACUCUAUGGAAACUUCAGGUGCCACGUAA